rnacentral:sRNA from 1 species
GUCCCAGUGUUCGUCGCAGGUUUCUCUGUUGGACAGGUGUAGCCGCAGAGGCUGGGCCGCACAACCCGGUAGACGCCCUUGCUCGACAGGACGUAGGUGUCCUUGUUGUUGUCCUCGCCAAACGAGUAUAUGUACCCAAGUGAUGGGAGGGGGCUUCCAGCAGCAGUGUCACACGCUAUAGGAGAACUCUUGGAGCAGCUGAAGGAGAUCAGACUCGAGCUGUAGUUCCCGCUGCUCUCUGGAGCCUCUGUGCCGGUCCACAUCGCUGAUGCAUACAGAUCGGCAAUGGCUGUAGCCCAUGAUAGGGGGAAUGGCGUUUAUGGAAUUGAGGGAAGUGUUCCCUCCAGGUGCCGAAGGUGGAUUGAAAACAAGUGGCCCCUCAUAUGCACGCCAUCCAUAGUUUCCACCCUUGGAGAUCAAAUCUACUUCUUCGUAUUGAUCCU